UCGGAAUAACUCAGAGAAAUUUGAGCUAAUACCGGAUAAUGUCUUCGGACCAAAGAUUUAUCGCCUUUAGAUGGGCCCGCGUUGGAUUAGCUAGUUGGUGGGUAAAGGCCUACCAAGGCGACGAUCCAUAGCUGGUCUGAGAGGAUGAUCAGCCACACUGGGACUGAGACACGGCCCAGACUCCUACGGGAGGCAGCAGUGGGGAAUAUUGGACAAUGGGCGAAAGCCUGAUCCAGCAAUGCCGCGUGAGUGAUGAAGGCCUUAGGGUUGUAAAGCUCUUUUACCCGAGAUGAUAAUGACAGUAUCGGGAGAAUAAGCUCCGGCUAACUCCGUG
rnacentral:rRNA from 1 species